rnacentral:lncRNA from 1 species
GACAAAGAGAGUGACUAACCAACAGCACAGUCGCAUGAUUCGUUUUUGUCGUUGUUCGGCUGCUUCUGAUAAUGAAAAAAUAUGGCACUUUCUGAUAAGAAAUAUAUUAGGGUUGGGUAAUUUGGGGUUAUUGAAAUUAUGUGAGGAUAAUUUGGGAACAAAAAGUUAAUUUCUGAUGGUGUCAUUCCUAAACCCACCUCCUCCCUUGGUAUUACAAAUCAAGGUUAACAAGGAAUCAAUUCCGGGUUGGGAGGUGGGACCCAUAACAAUUCCUAUUCCACCAUGAACAAGUAAACACAAGAAUUUCUUCAUCCCGUAAUCAUUCCCCUAUAUUUGUAUUCCAUUCCUAACAAGUAAACGUACCAUAAAACUGAAUAGGAAUGGAAAGAAUAAGGGUGGAAUAAUCAUUUGAAAUCACUCAUAAUUAAUUAAGGGCCAAUUACAUAUAAGUCCAUUUUGAGACAUUUUUUCCCACAUAGAUCCACCCCAACAUUUUUACCCACAUAAGUCCACCCAAGUCUAAAUAAGGUUUUGUAUUAAGUAUUGAAGUUCAACAUAAUUACAGACUGCCAUCCAACAAAAAAAAUUAGAUUUUCUCCCUUAUAUUUACAAGAAUGCCACUAAUAUAAAAAGUCAACAACCACUCAUUUCGGAACAGUCUCCGGCGGACCUCCGGCGAGGUUUCCGGUGGACCUCCGGGGAGGUUUCCGGCCGACCUCCGGCGUGGUUUCCGGCCGACCUUCGGCGAGAUUUCCGACCGACCUCCAACGAUGACAAAAAUUACUACUACCAGCUAUAAAAGCUACUACCACCAGCUACAAAAGCUACUACCACCGCCUACAAAAGAUACUACUGUGAGGUUUCCGAUGAACACAAAAGCUACUACCACCAGCCACAAAAACUACUACCACAAGCUACAAAAGCUACUACCACCGCCUACAAAAGCUACUACUGUGAGGUUUCCGACGAACACAAAAACUACUACCACCAGCUACAAAAGCUACUACUACUGCCUACAAAAGCUACUACUACCGCCUACAAAAGCUACUACUGUGAGGUUUUCGACGAACACAAAAACUACUACCACCAGCCACAAAAGCUACUACCACCAGCUACAAAAGUUACUAUCACCGCCUAUAAAAGCUACUAUUGUGAGGUUUCCGACGAACACAAAAAAUACUACAAUCAGCCACAAAAGCUACUACCACCGCCUACAAAAGCUACUACCGAGAUAAACAAAAGCUACCACCAAUAUAAACAAAAGCUACUACCCCUAUAUACAAAAGCUACCGCCACAACAAAAGUUAUUACCGACAUAAACAAAAGCUACUACCCCUAUAUACAAAAACUACUACUGCCAGACAUAAAAGCUAUUGCCUCCAUCAAUAUAAGCUACUACCGUUACCAACAAAAAAUACUACUCUAACUAACAAAAGCUACUGCUUUCACUGACAAAAACUACUACAAGAUAUUUACUACUGUUUGAACUCUCACAAUCUUCACCUCCACUUGAUUUCCUGCAAUUCGAAUCAAAAUCACGAUCCGUCAACACAUAUGCAAAUCACACUCACAUAUCUCGCGUUCGGAUUUACAGAAUCGUAGNN